rnacentral:rRNA from 1 species
AUACGGAGGGUGCAAGCGUUGUUCGGAAUUAUUGGGCUUAAAGCGCGCGUAGGCGGAAUAUCAGGUGUCAUGUGAAAUCCCCGGGCUCAACCCGGGAAUUGCGCGGCAAACCGGUAUUCUUGUGGCAGGUAGAGGUGACUGGAACGACUGGUGGAGCGGUGAAAUGCGUAGAUAUCAGUUGGAACGCCGGAGGCGAAAGCGAGUCACUGGGCCUGUCCUGACGCUGAGGCGCGAAAGCGUGGGGAGCGAACAGGAUUAGAAACCCUAGUAGUCC